UACGAAGGGUGCAAGCGUUACUCGGAAUUACUGGGCGUAAAGCGUGCGUAGGUGGUUUGUUAAGUCUGUUGUGAAAGCCCCGGGCUCAACCUGGGAAUGGCAAUGGAUACUGGCAAGCUAGAGUGCGGUAGAGGGUAGUGGAAUUCCCGGUGUAGCGGUGAAAUGCGUUAGAGAUCGGGAGGAACACCAGUGGCGAAGGCGGCUACCUGGACCAGCACUGACACUGAGGCACGAAAGCGUGGGGAGCGAACAGG
rnacentral:rRNA from 1 species